AUAGGUAUAACUCGGAGGUAGAGCACAUGCUUAGCAUGCACGAGGUCCUGGGUUCAAGCCCCAGUACCUCCA
rnacentral:tRNA from 1 species